AUGCGUGCAGUCAUAAAAGGGACCGUGGAGGGGAGUGAAGGGUCUUGGUUUGGAGCAGUGGUUGCAACUCCUUUCAAUAAUGGCGCGAACUUGGAGCCGGUGUCCCCGACCCAAGUACGACCACUAUCAUCAGCUUCUUGGGUCGAUGCUCCGCAAUUUACGAGGAUGAGGCCAGUGGAGUUGUUAUCAGCCGCCAUGGCGAGUGAUAAGAGAGCUAACAGUGUGAGGCAUGUGAGGGUAACUGGUAGGGCUGGGAAAGCCAUUUUGGAUUUUGCGGUGGUUGGUGUACCAGAAUCAAAGAAUUGGGGACUCCAUCGGAUCAACUUGCUACAGGAUGUUUGCAUAAUGCAAGAACAUUGUGAUUUUCUUCAUCGGUUUUGA
rnacentral:rRNA from 1 species